CCCUUAGAUGUUCUGGGCUGCACGCGCGCUACACUGAAGCGUUCAACGAGUAUUCACCUUGCCCGGGAGGGUUGGGUAAUCUUUGAAUCUGCAUCGUGACGGGGAUAGAUUAUUGCAAUUAUUAAUCUUCAACGAGGAAUGCCUAGUAGGCGCAAGUCAUCAGCUUGCGUCGAUUACGUCCCUGCCCUUUGUACACACCGCCCGUCGCUCCUACCGAUUGGGUGUGCUGGUGAAAUGUUCGGAUCGGCCGUUUGUCGCGGUUUCCGCGGCUCGUGGCUGAGAAGUUCAUUAAACCCUCCCACCUAGAGGAAGGAGAAGUCGUAACA
rnacentral:rRNA from 1 species